CCUACGGGUGGCAGCAGUGAGGAAUAUUGGUCAAUGGGCGGGAGCCUGAACCAGCCAAGUCGCGUGAGGGAAGACGGUCCUACGGAUUGUAAACCUCUUUUGCCGGGGAGCAACGGGGUCCUUGCGAGGGCCCAAUGAGAGUACCCGGAGAAAAAGCAUCGGCUAACUCCGUGCCAGCAGCCGCGGUAAUACGGAGGAUGCGAGCGUUAUCCGGAUUUAUUGGGUUUAAAGGGAGCGUAGGCGGGUUGUUAAGUCAGUUGUGAAAGUUUGCGGCUCAACCGUAAAAUUGCAGUUGAUACUGGCAUCCUUGAGUACAGUAGAGGUAGGCGGAAUUCGUGGUGUAGCGGUGAAAUGCUUAGAUAUCACGAAGAACUCCGAUUGCGAAGGCAGCCUGCUGGACUGUAACUGACGCUGAUGCUCGAAAGUGUGGGUAUCAAACAGGAUUAGAUACCCUAGUAGUC
rnacentral:rRNA from 1 species